rnacentral:rRNA from 1 species
GCUCUUGGGUUGUAAACCUCUUUUCUCAAGGAAAGAAAGAUGACGGUACUUGAGGAAUCAGCAUCGGCUAACUCCGUGCCAGCAGCCGCGGUAAUACGGAGGAUGCAAGCGUUAUCCGGAAUGAUUGGGCGUAAAGCGUCCGUAGGUGGCUGUGUGUGUCUAUUGUUAAAGAGUUUGGCUCAACCAAAUAAGGGCGGUAGAAACUACACAGCUAGAGUGCGUUCGGGGCAGAGGGAAUUCCUGGUGUAGCGGUGAAAUGCGUACAGAUCAGGAAGAACACCGGUGGCGAAAGCGCUCUGCUAGGCCGCAACUGACACUGAGGGACGAAAGCUAGGGGAGCGAAUGGGAUUAGAUACCCCAGUAGUCCUAGCCGUAAACGAUGGAUACUAGGCGUUGAGAGUAUCGACCCUCUCAGUGCCGUAGCUAACGCGUUAAGUAUCCCGCCUGGGGAGUACGCACGCAAGUGUGAAACUCAAAGGAAUUGACGGGGGCCCGCACAAGCGGUGGAGUAUGUGGUUUAAUUCGAUGCAACGCGAAGAACCUUACCAGGGCUUGACAUGUCUGGAAUCUUGGGGAAACUCAAGAGUGCCUUCGGGAGCCAGAACACAGGUGGUGCAUGGCUGUCGUCCGCUCGUGUCGUGAGAUGUUGGGUUAAGUCCCGCAACGAGCGCAACCCUUGUACUUAGUUGCCAGCAUUUAGGAUGGGCACUCUAAGGAGACUGCCGGUGACAAACCGGAGGAAGGUGGGGAUGACGUCAAGUCAGCAUGCCAAUUGG